rnacentral:rRNA from 1 species
AUACGUAGGGGGCGAGCGUUGUCCGGAAUCAUUGGGCGUAAAGCGUGCGCAGGCGGCUUCUUAAGUUGGGAGUGAAAGGCCGCGGCUUAACCGCGGAUGGGCUUUCAAAACUGGGGAGCUUGAGUGCAGGAGAGGGAAGCGGAACUCCAUGUGUAGCGGUGAAAUGCGUAGAGAUAUGGAGGAACACCGGUGGCGAAGGCGGCUUCCUGGCCUGUAACUGACGCUCAGGCACGAAAGCGUGGGGAGCAAACAGGAUUAGAUACCCUGGUAGUCCACGCCGUAAACGAUGAGUGCUAGGUGUUGGAGGCGUACGGCCUUCAGUGCCGCAGUUCACGCAAUAAGCACUCCGCCUGGGGAGUACGGCCGCAAGGCUGAA